GGCACAUGUUACUGAUGUCUGUAACAUUCCUUGAAAUGGAUUAAAAUUAAGACAGGUUGACGGAAGGACUAUGAACACAUGGACAGAUAGACAUAAAGCAAGUACAUUCAAAUGUUAAUGGUAGAAUCAACACUGUGGGAAUAUGGGGUUAAAUAAAAAAUUAUUUCAUAUUUCCAUUGUGUUUUGAAAUUUCCAUAAUUAAAUGUUGGAGAGAAAAACUUCACGAGGCCUUUCCACAUUUGCCUUUUUUGGAAGACGCCAAGCAAAGGGACAUGAAUGUUCAGGGUAACUGGAUCUGCUCGGAGGAGAAGCCUGUGAGGAGCAGGAGCCACACAGUGAGGAACAGUUGUCCAGGAUCCCUGAUUCCUCUAGGAAUGCCAGAAACCUCUUGCCUUCAGAGUUCCCUCCCCACAGCUGCCUGGAUCGGGGAGGCCUUACUCAGCUCAGAGGUCAGCCAGGGGCCCAGGAAUGCGGACACGACCCUACGAAGGACACACUGCUGUCUGGGUGUGCCUGGUCAGGCAGAUUAUUCCACCACAGGGGGACAGCCGUUGUGCUGGUGACACCUCAUGAAUAAUCUGUUUCUGUGGACUCACAUGCUUAUUCUUCUGCUGUUGUGGAGAAGAAAACGCACCAAACAUGGCUGUCAGGGGUGAGGACGCCUUUCUCUCAUCCUCUCGCAGAUCCAGAACUUCUGAUGACGAGGCGCCCUAGGGCGCUGAGCUUUGCUCCAAAGAUUGAUCUACAUUUUCCUCUCUGACUUGUGCUGCGUGCAGUGCGCCCUUGCUCUGAUGCAGCUCUCUCAGUUGUCCAUCCAGCCUCUGCCCAUGUGAGCGCUGUUCCAUCUGGGAAGGGAAAGCUCUGCUCUUUCUCAACACUGUAAAAAUUCCUAGAAAGAUGUGAUAACUGCCCAUUCCGGGGUUUUCUCUUUCUGCUCUGCUGUUCUGCCAGGAUUCUCGGCACAGUGCUCUCCUUCGCAUCUACGCUUCCAUUCCCCUUGUCAGCCAGAGUUCCCUAGGCUUUCUGGGAUUUCCAUAACAGUUUUUAGGGUCCCUGAGCUCACGAUAUUGCUCGUCCUUGUGAAGUGUUUCCUGUUUUCACUUCACCCUGACCACGUGGAUUUUGGCAUUUCCUUCCCAAACCCCAAGGGCUCAUCUUGUUGAUCUCUCCUUCUUGACCUGCCCCCAGGGUGAGGAAGGAGGAUGCUGGCGGGAAGGUGAGGACUUGAGUCUGUGCUGAGACCCAGAGGAGGGGCGGGGCGGGCGGCCUCUUCAGCAGGUGGACUCUGAGGGGGUCGGGAAAGAAGAGGUAGGAGAAGAGCGAGAGCGGAGAGCUUCCCUCCCCACAGACUCCAUCCAGCGGCGGGUCCUGACGACCUGGCGUCUAUCCUGCCCGCCCUGCCACCCAGCCAAUCCAGGCUGAUGCUCAGGGUGCGUCUCAACGAUGCAUCUGUGACGUCAUGCGGCUCCCCACCGUCUUGACAUCCUUGGGAAUUCCUCCUCAGCCCCGCCUGCCUCCCUCCUCCAUCCCACUAUCCGCCCUGUGCAGUCAGGAGGUGUCCCCAGUUCACUGGUGAAUUCAUUGGAUCUGUCACGUCGCCAGCUGGAAUGGGACAGGCCCUGAACCCAGGGAUCCCAGGCAAGGGCGCUGAGACAGCAGGGUCGCAAUCCCAGCAGGGACUGCUUGACUCUGGGCUGGUCUUGCCCUCCCCUCUCCUGUGGAGCCUCACCCCGCCCCUCCGAAGCCCCGCCCCCUGUACACGGACUGGGUGUCCAUGGUGACGGGAAGGAAGCCGGUUCUGAAUUCCCUACUCCCUUCAUUAGUUCAUCAAUCCCUUUAUUUUCCAUAAGUGUAGCAAACAUUUCUCAGCUUGUCCUUCGUCAGCGUACAUUACAGUAUGGACUUUUGACCUUUAUUUUGGCAGCAGAUAUUUUAUUAAGUCAAAUUUGACGCCAUGUUUAUGAACAGAAACACAGAUUUUUGCAUUGUCUGGGGAAGUUUCAGCUGGAUCUUUUUUGUGUCAAAGAAAUAGAGAAAUUGAUGAGAAUACUUCCUUGAAUAAAUCCCUUUAAAUUUAUUGCCCAUCAUUGUGGAGAUGAAUUUACUUAGGAAAAAACUAAGAAAUUCUGAGAAUGAAGGAGGGGUGAAGAGGCAAAUGAAAUAAUUCAACCAGGCUACCACUGCAGAUGUGUGAUAUUAGACUGAGCGUGUCCAAUGGGGAGCAGCACAGAGAGUGUGAACAAAUCUUCACUGAGAGCAGAACGGUGCAGCGGAAGUGAGCUGGGCUCCCAACUCAGAAGAAGAAGACUCUUUCUGUGUGUUUCCAAGUGCUCAAUUCUCUACAUAAAAUCUAGCUGUUUCCACUUUUU
ensembl:lncRNA